AACUCAGCAUUGGUUUGGUUUGCUCUGCCGAAUUAUUCUUUACUAAGGACACACAAGUAUUGGUUCACCGUACACAGCGAUGUUGAGUUCAACUUGUGAUAACACCGCCAUUGAAACUCACCCAAGAACUGAUCUUUAGGUUCCUGCACCAGCUUGCUUCUUUUGCAGCCUCGCCUCAGGCGGAUUGGCAAUCCUGGUGACUUCUUCAGAAAUGAACUAGAGUUGCUGGUCCAUGCCUGAUGUCUACUUGCUGAAAGGGCUGGCCUGAAGCUGCCUGAUGCUUGGCUGCCUAGAGGACUGGUCUGUAGCUUCUGAAUUGUGUUUGGUGUUUGCUACAGGACUGAACUGCUGCCUAAGAUCAAGCUCACGUCCAAAGAACUACUGAUGAACAGACCACAUGAGGCUCAAGAAGAAGGAAGGCCAAAGUGUGGGUGCUUCCGUCCUUCUUGGAGAACAAAAUAUUCGCAGGAGCAAAUAUGGAGAUAAAGUGUAGAGCAGAGACGGAAGGAAAGGCCAUCCAGAGACUGCCCCACCUGGGGAUUCAUCCCAUAUACAGUUACCAAACCCAGACACUAUUGUGGAUGCCAAGAAGUGUAUGCUGAAAGGAGCCUGAUAUGGCUGUCUCCUGAGAGGCCCUGCCAGAGCCUGACAAAUACAGAGGAGGAUGCUCGCAGUCAACCAUUGAACUGAGCAUGAGGUCCCCUAUAGAGGAGUUAGAGAAAGGACUGAAGGAGUUGAAGGGGUCUGCAACCCCAUAGGAAGAACAACAAUGUCAACCAACCAGAGCCCCCAGAACUCCCAGGGACUAAGCCAUCAACCAAGGAGUACACAUGGCUCCAACCGCAUAUGUAGCAGAGGACAGCCUUGCCAGGCAUCAGUCAGAGGAGAGGUCCUUGGUCCUAUGAAGGCUCAAUAGAUGCCCCAGUGUAGGGGAAUUGAGCCCGGGGAGGUGGGAGUGGGUGGGUGGGUGGAGGAACACCCUCAUAGAAGCAGGGGGAGGGAGGAUGGGGUAGGGGGUUUCUGGGAGGCAGGGAAACCAGGAAAGGGGAUAACAUUUGAAAUGU
rnacentral:lncRNA from 1 species